CACCCGUGUCUACCACACCUAGUGUUGCUUUGGCGGGCCCMCUCCUCCGGUGUUCCGCCGGGGGGGUCGUCCCGGGGCGCGGUGUGCCCCCGGGGCCCGUGCCCGCCAGAGGCACUCACUGUGAACGCUUUUGUGAAUGCGAGGAUUGUCUGAGUGACGAAAUGCAAUCGUUCAAAACUUUCAACAAUGGAUCUCUUGGUUCCGGCAUCGAUGAAGAACGCAGCGAAAUGCGAUAAGUAAUGUGAAUUGCAGAAUUCCGUGAAUCAUCGAAUCUUUGAACGCACAUUGCGCCCUCUGGUAUUCCGGGGGGCAUGCCUGUCCGAGCGUCAUUGCGAACCCUCAAGCACGGCUUGUGUGUUGGGCCGCCGUCCCCUCGUUUGGAGGGGACGGGCCUGAAAGGCAGCGGCGGCGUCGCGUCCGGUCCUCGAGCGUAUGGGGCUCUGUCACGCGCUCAAGGAGGGGUCCGGCCGGGGCCAUAGCCUCUGAAGGUCAAUUCUUCCAAGGUUGACCUCGGAUCAGGUAGGAGUACCCGCUGAACUUAAGCAUAUCAAUAAGCGGAGGAA
rnacentral:rRNA from 1 species